UGGGUGUCUGAAUCUUUAAUAAACCA
rnacentral:piRNA from 1 species